AGCUCCAUGGUAAUAGGCAAAGAGACACCUUGUUGUUGGUGGUGUUCUUAUAUCAGGCAGGAGCAGAGCAGAUGGCAAUCCUUUGUUCAUCCUAGCUUGAUACCUGUCUUGGUGGCCAAAACUGAUUUAUGCCUAGGACACCUAA